ACGACCCACCUUAUUAUUUUUUCUCUGAUUUGAAGGAGGUUCGAUCGAUUUCUAUUUUUUUCUCUCUCACCGUCGACGCUAUUCAAUGGUCCGCUACCACACUUUCUCUGAUUUGAAGGAGGGUCGAUCGAUUUAUGAGCCAAUCAUCGUCGAGGUUUUCGUUUUAGGGUUACUGAUUUUAUUGGGUUUUUAUGUGGGUUGUUUCAGAUCUAGUUUUUUUUGUUAAUUUAUCAAUUUUCCUUCAAAACCCCAUAUUUAUCCUCUCUUUUUUUCGUUAAUUUUGUAUGUUUUUCGUUAAUUUCGUAUGUUUUUUUGUUUUCUCGAUUUUUAUUUAUCCUCUCUUUUUCGAUUUUUCUUUCAGAUCUGGUUUUUUCUUGAUUUUUUCGUUGGGUUUUUGUCCUAAUUAUUUCUAGGUUUUUCUUCUUCUCAUCAGAUUUGGGUUUUUUUUUGAAUGAUUUUGUGUUGAAUUUUUAAUCUGGUGGACUAUCUGGUGUUUUGUCUGUUCUUUAGGAGUAUCUCAAGAACUUACAGAAGUUAAUUUGAAGCGUUUUGUUAAAGAGCUAAAUCUGGAUAUAACAAGAUUUCCUCAAAAUUUAUUGCUGCUGAGAUGCACAAGUUCUUGAGGUAAUUGAUCUGAUUGUUUAGUUGCUCUGGGAGUAAUAUCAGUUACAGCAUCCAUUUUUCUUUUUUUUCUUUUUAGUUUGUCACUAUUGAUCAUCCAUUAGUGAGGAAUCAGAAAACAUAUGCAAAAAUGUGCUAAGCUAAUACUGGGUGAUAUUUUCAUAUGGCUUCUCAGAAUGAGAUUUGAUCAAGAUUUUCUAAUUCUUGGAAAUGGCUAUUGGAAGUUAUGAAAGUACAUUAGUAGUCUGACUUUUCUUUGAUUGAUUCUAUAUGAAAACGUGUAAGCUCAAUGCUGUCCCUGAUUCAACCAAUCCUCAAGCUACCAGUUCAAAACUUCAACAUGUUUCUUUGAUAAAAGAAUUCUAACUAUUGACUGUGGAGAUAUAAAUAUCUGAAUAUACAAGAUAUUUGAAUGAGAAUUGAUAGAGAAUAUACAUAUUCUCACAAAUGAUAAUAUUUAAAUAUAAUACCUAGAAAUCUCAGAAGAUCUUUUGUCUUCAAAGUUGACUUGGUCUGUUGAUCAUAUUGUUAGACCGAGCUCCUUCUUCCCUACAAAAUGAUGCAGUAACAGUUCAGAUUUUUUUUGUAGUCUCUUACUAGCUAUACGAUAGUAUCAUGCUGGUACUGCAGUAAAAUUGAUUUUUUUUUUCUCUUUAGAGAAACACUUUUACUUGUUUCAAAAUAAAUUUGGUUCCUAGAUCUCCACUUAUUACUUGAUUAUCCAUGUUUCUGAUGCAUCCUUUUUUGACUUUAAAUUAACUUUAUGCUUAUAUUUUCUUUUUCCAGAAAAGGGUGGCAGACAACUUCUUAGGUAAGUACUAGUAUAUGUCACAGCUUCCAUAUCAUAAUUUUCUGCUGCUAGCCAACUUUGAUCAGUAUGAAAACCUGCAAUCUCCUUCAAUUCUUUCUAAAAACGAGCAUAAAUCACAGAUGUGUAUAAAAUUAUGAUGAAAACUAGAUUUGGUAGUAACUUCUGUAAGGCGUAUCAUGUCUCAUCAUAAUUCAAUAUCAUGUGUUCAUUGAUUGCAUUGAAACUCGAAACGUGAAACACCUUGUCCAAAUGAUGAUUCAGCUCUUUUUGUCAAUAAAAUUCUUGGAUCUGAUUGAGGGCAUGAAAGAUCUAAUUGUGUUUUAUCUGAAUUAAAAUAAUAUGCUACCAUCUGGUGUAACUUCCUGUGAGAAGAUAUGUUAAAUUCAUUAGUAGUUGUUAGAUCUGAUAAACUUCCCAAAUUACCUUCAAGUAAAGCAAUGGAAACUAGCUCGAUCUGCGACAAUCAUAAAAAGAUAGUGUUGGUCAAUACAAGAGAUCUUUCUGCCUUUAGGAGAGAUUGUUGUGAAGACUACUGGGUUUGUGCCUCUUUGAAGGUGGUAUAUUAUUUCAGUUGCUUUAACUAUGUACGUUGGUUCUUUAUUGCUUUUCAUCAGUAAAUACAAUAUGUUAGGAUGAAUGAGUAGUGAAAAAUUAUAGUAUCUCUACCUCCUUAUAAGUGCUUCUAAAAUCAAUAGGUGAUGAAAUUAUAAUUAGCUAGAAAAGUUGACAUAAUCUUAUAUAGCACAAAUUAAUAUUUGUCUAGAUAUUAUAAUUGGCUUGAAUGCUGCUCGUUUGAGUAUUUCAUCAUGCAAGUUUUCUUGAGUAUAUUCUGCCUUGGGUGCCUGUGUAUUUAGCCUGUUAAUUUCUUUGUUUUUGUUGAUUUGCAGGGUUAUGAGAUUUGUGUUUGAGUUCCAGAUUUGAAGUUGGUUUCGAUCCAAAAACCAGAUUUAAAGUCCGUUUUGGUUCCAGAUUUUUGUUGUGGAGUUUAAAGUGUACAUGUAAUUAUAUGAGAUUUGUAUUAGAUUUUGUUUGAAGUAUAAUAGAAUUUAGUUGUAGAUUUUUUUUUUUUCACUUGUAAUUACAUUUAUUAUCAAUAAUAAUUGAAUUGAUUAAUUUGUUUGCCUUAAUAAAAGAAUUAUGGUAUUUGCAUCA